GUGUUUAUUUACCUUGUUGCUUCGGCGAGCCUGCCUUUUGGCUGCCGGGGGACGUCAGUCCCCGGGUCCGUGCUCGCCGGAGACACCUUAGAACUCUGUCUGAAGAUUGUAGUCUGAGAUUAAAUAUAAAUUAUUUAAAACUUUCAACAACGGAUCUCUUGGUUCCGGCAUCGAUGAAGAACGCAGCGAAAUGCGAUACGUAAUGUGAAUUGCAGAAUUCAGUGAAUCAUCGAGUCUUUGAACGCACAUUGCGCCCUCUGGUAUUCCGGAGGGCAUGCCUGUCCGAGCGUCAUUGCUGCCCUCAAGCACGGCUUGUGUGUUGGGCCCCGUCCUCCUUCCGGGGGACGGGUCCGAAAGGCAGCGGCGGCACCGCGUCCGGUCCUCAAGCGUAUGGGGCUUUGUCACUCGCUUUGUAGGCCUGGCCGGCGCUUGCCGAUCAACCAAACUUUUUAUCAGGUUGACCUCGGAUCAGGUAGGGAUACCCGCUGAACUUAAGCAUAUCAAUA
rnacentral:rRNA from 1 species